UGUGCUAUACAUGCAGUAGAACGCUGAGGUUUGGUGUUUACACUAGACUGAUGAGUUGCGAACGGGUGAGUAACGCGUAGGUAACCUGCCUCAUAGCGGGGGAUAACUAUUGGAAACGAUAGCUAAUACCGCAUAAGAGUAAUUAACACAUGUUAGUUAUUUAAAAGGAGCAAUUGCUUCACUGUGAGAUGGACCUGCGUUGUAUUAGCUAGUUGGUGAGGUAAAGGCUCACCAAGGCGACGAUACAUAGCCGACCUGAGAGGGUGAUCGGCCACACUGGGACUGAGACACGGCCCAGACUCCUACGGGAGGCAGCAGUAGGGAAUCUUCGGCAAUGGACGGAAGUCUGACCGAGCAACGCCGCGUGAGUGAAGAAGGUUUUCGGAUCGUAAAGCUCUGUUGUUAGAGAAGAACGUUGGUAGGAGUGGAAAAUCUACCAAGUGACGGUAACUAACCAGAAAGGGACGGCUAACUACGUGCCAGCAGCCGCGGUAAUACGUAGGUCCCGAGCGUUGUCCGGAUUUAUUGGGCGUAAAGCGAGCGCAGGCGGUUCUUUAAGUCUGAAGUUAAAGGCAGUGGCUUAACCAUUGUACGCUUUGGAAACUGGAGGACUUGAGUGCAGAAGGGGAGAGUGGAAUUCCAUGUGUAGCGGUGAAAUGCGUAGAUAUAUGGAGGAACACCGGUGGCGAAAGCGGCUCUCUGGUCUGUAACUGACGCUGAGGCUCGAAAGCGUGGGGAGCAAACAGGAUUAGAUACCCUGGUAGUCCACGCCGUAAACGAUGAGUGCUAGGUGUUAGGCCCUUUCCGGGGCUUAGUGCCGCAGCUAACGCAUUAAGCACUCCGCCUGGGGAGUACGACCGCAAGGUUGAAACUCAAAGGAAUUAGACGGGGGCCCGCACAA
rnacentral:rRNA from 1 species